rnacentral:rRNA from 1 species
UACGUAGGGUGCAAGCGUUAAUCGGAAUUACUGGGCGUAAAGCGUGCGCAGGCGGUUCGGAAAGAAAGAUGUGAAAUCCCAGAGCUUAACUUUGGAACUGCAUUUUUAACUACCGAGCUAGAGUGUGUCAGAGGGAGGUGGAAUUCCGCGUGUAGCAGUGAAAUGCGUAGAUAUGCGGAGGAACACCAGUGGCGAAGGCGGCGGCCUGGACAGAACCUGACGCUGAGGCACGAAAGCUGGGGGAGCGAACAGG